rnacentral:rRNA from 1 species
AUUGAACGCUGGCGGCAUGCCUUACACAUGCAAGUCGAACGGCAGCACGGGUGCUUGCACCUGGUGGCGAGUGGCGAACGGGUGAGUAAUACAUCGGAACAUGUCCUUUAGUGGGGGAUAGCCCGGCGAAAGCCGGAUUAAUACCGCAUACGAUCUACGGAUGAAAGCGGGGGACCUUCGGGCCUCGCGCUAUAGGGUUGGCCGAUGGCGGAUUAGCUAGUUGGUGGGGUAAAGGCCUACCAAGGCGACGAUCAGUAGCUGGUCUGAGAGGACGACCAGCCACACGGGGACUGAGACACGGCCCAGACUCCUACGGGAGGCAGCAGUGGGGAAUUUUGGACAAUGGGCGAAAGCCUGAUCCAGCAAUGCCGCGUGUGUGAAGAAGGCCUUCGGGUUGUAAAGCACUUUUGUCCGGAAAGAAAUCCUUGGCCCUAAUACGGUCGGGGGAUGACGGUACCGGAAGAAUAAGCACCGGCUAACUACGUG